rnacentral:misc_RNA from 1 species
GAUGAAGAACGCAGCGAAAUGCGAUAAGUAAUGUGAAUUGCAGAAUUCAGUGAAUCAUCGAAUCUUUGAACGCACCUUGCGCUCCUUGGUAUUCCGAGGAGCAUGCCUGUUUGAGUGUCAUUUCAACCCUCAAGCACAGCUUGGUGUUGGGACUCGCGUUAAUUCGCGUUCCCCAAAUUGAUUGGCGGUCACGUCGAGCUUCCAUAGCGUAGUAGUAAAACCCUCGUUACUGGUAAUCGUCGCGGCCACGCCGUUAAACCCCAACUUCUGAAUGUUGACCUCGGAUCAGGUAGGAAUACCCGCUGAACUUAAGCAUAUCAAUAAGCGGAGGA